UAAGUCUUUACGGAGAAAGCUUAAUGCGCCAAUGGAUGAGCCCGCACUUGAUUAGUUUGUUGGUGGGGUAAUGGCCUACCAAGACUGUGAUCAAUAGCUGAUUUGAGAGGAUGAUCAGCCACAUUGGGACUGAGACACGGCCCAAACUCCUACGGGAGGCAGCAGUAGGGAAUCUUGCACAAUGGAGGAAACUCUGAUGCAGCGAUGCCGCGUGAGUGAAGAAGGCCUUUGGGUUGUAAAGCUCUUUCGUCGGGGAAGAAAAUGACUGUACCCGAAUAAGAAGGUCCGGCUAACUUCGUGCCAGCAGCCGCGGUAAUACGAAGGGACCUAGCGUAGUUCGGAAUUACUGGGCUUAAAGAGUUCGUAGGUGGUUAAAAUAGUUGGUGGUGAAAUCCCAGAGCUUAACUCUGGAACUGCCAUCAAAACUUUUUAGCUAGAGUAUGAUAGAGGAAAGCAGAAUUUCUAGUGUAGAGGUGAAAUUCGUAGAUAUUAGAAAGAAUACCAAUUGCGAAGGCAGCUUUCUGGAUCAUUACUGACACUGAGGAACGAAAGCAUGGGUAGCGAAGAGGAUUAGAUACCCUCGUAGUCCAUGCCGUAAACGAUGUGUGUUAGACGUUGGAAAUUUAUUUUUCAGUGUCGCAGCAAAAGCGAUAAACACACCGCCUGGGGAGUACGACCGCAAGGUUAAAACUCAAAUGAAUUGACGGGGACCCGCACAAGUAGUGGAGCAUGUGGUUUAAUUCGAAGAUACGCGCAGAACCUUACCAACACUUGACAUGUUCGUCGCGACUCUAAGAGAUUAGAGUUUUCGGUUCGGCCGGACGAAACACAGGUGCUGCAUGGCUGUCGUCAGCUCGUGUCGUGAGAUGUUGGGUUAAGUCCCGCAACGAGCGCAACCCUCACUU
rnacentral:rRNA from 1 species